rnacentral:rRNA from 1 species
CAAGGUUUCCGUUGGUGAACCAGCGGAGGGAUCAUUAA